CUGCGAUUUUCCAGAACACUGUGUUAUUAGUGAUGAACUUUGGAACACCCAGGCCUGGUGAAGGAGGCUGCUGAGGCCGGCUCUGAAACCAGCGGUUCAGAGGGCAGAGCGAUCUGGCUCGUGUGCGGGCCCCACUGGCACCCUCCGGCCUUUCCAUUUUAGUAGUAACUCUCUGGUGAGAUGGAAACCACGUUGAGACGGCCGGAGUGCGCUGGCCUUCCGCGCACAUAAACAGAGCAGUUUCAAAGGAGAGGCUCCCCUCGGCUGAAGAGGACGCUGCCGGCCGCGGUCACUGACGCGUUCUGCACGCAGGACUCUGCCUUGUGUCCUCGUGGGAGGAGACACACCCCACCAAGGAGAUGCCGACACGACCCGGAAGGGCUUCCGGGCUGCGGACCCUCAGCCCCCGCGGGUGUGAAUGUGGCCUGGCCGAGACAGAUAAAUAAAGAAAAUGUGGUAUAUACACACAAUGGAAUACUCCUCAGCCAUAAAAAGGAAUGAAAUAUUGCCAUUUGCAGCAACGUGGAUGGACCUGGAGAUGAUCAUACUAUGGGAAGUCAGAAAGAGAAAGACAAAUAUCAUAUGAUACCACUUACAUGGCCGCCACGUGCGCGUUUUUCAGUUUUGUUUGUGUGGCUGGUACCAGUUUGCCCACGUCCCCGGCAGCGUGUGGUUUCGUGUCCUGGUGUCUCCCUGGGGUUCUCCACUCGCCCUUCACAUGGGACUCACGAUGCUGAGUAUCUUUCCGCCGGCCAUCAGCCAUUUUUAUUGAGAUGUAACUGACAUAGAGCACUGUAUAACUGAAGGGCUACAGCAUCAUGAUUUGACUUACAUACAUCAUGACAUGAUGACCACAAUAAGCCUGUAGGACAAGACUCUUGUGGGUCCUGUGUUUCCCUGGAAUGAUGAACUUGAAGCUCUCUCACCGUGAACUCUAAGGCCCUCUGCUCCCUCUUGCCUCUGUAACGCCUUCCCCGGCUCCAGCACACCCUCGCUCACUCGGGACUCACAGAUCACGUGGCCAGCCCUGCCCCAAGCUCGGGGCCACACGGCAGAGGAGAACUGGGGUCCACGGUCAUGCCUCCCAAGCUGUGCCAACCACACGCUGCUGAUCUUGGCCCAGGCCACUAUCUCUCUCUGAUGGAAGGACCCAGACUCUGGCGCGCUGCAUCCUGGCCUGGGCUGGGAACAUUCCCCACGGCCUCCUGCUCGUGGACCGUGACAGCCGUGGGCAGUGAGUGGUCCCUUCUGUGUCGUCCUCGCCCCACCAGAGACGCAAGGUUCGUUUGGGUGGUUCACGCCCAAGCUGAGCCCAAACGUGAAAACUCAUACAAAUUCUCCACGGCCGAAUGGCAGGGGCCUCGGCUGGGCGUUGGGUCCCUGCUGGGCUGUGAGCCCCGGGCAGUGAAGGACGGGCUCCCCCCGCAGACCACAGCCAAGGGCAUGGCCAGGUGCACCUGGCUGGCCAGGGUCUGGCUCUUAAGUGACCACCCUUGCUGCCCACAGGCACUGCGGGUACAGCUGGCCCAUAACUGUCUCUGGCAAGCAUUCGAGGUAAUACGGUCGCUAGGAAAGGCCAGGCUGGGGAGCAUGAGCUACCAGAGGUGGCAUCUUUGGCUCCAGGGAGGGAGCUUGGGCAGAAGCUUUGUGACGGACUUUGGGGGCGGGGAGGUGGGUGUCCUGCAAGUUGUAGUGGUCAUUCUGGUGGGGCUGCGGUUCCCCAGCUCCUUCUACCGGGGACGGCCAGACUGGCCAUGACAGUGUCAGCACCAGCCACCCCUCUGGCCCAGUGUCCCCCCGCGGAAUUUCACCGAGGACUCGUCUCUCCAGCCCUGACAACCCUCAUCUGCCCUCAUCUGGGGUGUCUGCCGGCUGGUUUGGUCCCUCCCUGUGACUCCAGGGUUCCCACUGUUCUUGAGCUGGACUUGUUUUAACCGAAUUGUCUUGUGUUUGCUUUCCUCUUCCUCCUGUUCCUUUUCUUGCAUUUUUCUCCCCAUCAUUCUCUCUUCCACUUGACACACACUCCCCAAGCCCCUUCUCUGUCACACAGGGAGACAGAGUGAAAUAAAACUCAG